rnacentral:tRNA from 1 species
GCAUUGGUGGUUCAGUGGUAGAAUUCUAGCUUGCCAUGUUGGAGACCUGGGUUCGAUUCCCAGCCAAUGCC